rnacentral:rRNA from 1 species
CUCAUUAAAUCAGUUAUCGUUUAUUUGAUAGUACCUUACUACUUGGAUAACCGUGGUAAUUCUAGAGCUAAUACAUGCUGAAAACCUCGACUUCGGAAGGGGUGUAUUUAUUAGAUAAAAAACCAAUGCCCUUCGGGGCUCUUUGGUGAUUCAUGAUAACUUCUCAGAUCGCAUGGCCUUGCGCCGGCGACGGUUCAUUCAAAUUUCUGCCCUAUCAACUUUCGAUGGUAAGGUAUUGGCUUACCAUGGUUUCAACGGGUAACGGGGAAUUAGGGUUCGAUUCCGGAGAAGGAGCCUGCGAGACGGCUCCUACAUCCAAGGAAGGCAGCAGGCGCGCAAAUUACCCAAUCCCGACACGGGGAGGUAGUGACAAUAAAUACUGAUACAGGGCUCUUUUGGGUCUUGUAAUUGGAAUGAGUACAAUUUAAACCUCUUAACGAGGAACAAUUGGAGGGCAAGUCUGGUGCCAGCAGCCGCGGUAAUUCCAGCUCCAAUAGCGUAUAUUAAAGUUGUUGCAGUUAAAAAGCUCGUAGUUGAACCUUGGGCCUGGCUGGCGGGUCCGCCUCACCGCGUGUACUUGACCGGCCGGGCCUUCUCUUCUGGAGAACCUCAUGCCCUUUACUGGGCGUGUUGGGGACCAGGACUUUUACUUUGAAAAAAUUAGAGUGUUCAAAGCAGGCCUUUGCUCGAAUAUGUUAGCAUGGAAUAAUAGAAUAGGACGUGCGGUCCUAUUUUGUUGGUUUCUAGGACCGCCGUAAUGAUUAAUAGGGACAGUCGGGGGCAUCAGUAUUCAAUUGUCAGAGGUGAAAUUCUUGGAUUUAUUGAAGACUAACUACUGCGAAAGCAUUUGCCAAGGAUGUUUUCAUUAAUCAGUGAACGAAAGUUAGGGGAUCGAAGACGAUCAGAUACCGUCGUAGUCUUAACCAUAAACUAUGCCGACUAGGGAUCGGGCGAUGUUUCAAUAUUGACUCGCUC